rnacentral:rRNA from 1 species
AGGGCGCCACCAGGAGUGGAGCCUGCGGCUUAAUUUGACUCAACACGGGAAAACUCACCCGGCCCGGACACCGUAAGGAUUGACAGACUGAGAGCUCUUUCUUAAUUCGGUGGGUGGUGGUGCAUGGCCGUUCUUAGUUGGUGGAGCGAUUUGUCUGGUUAAUUCCGAUAACGAACGAGACUCUGGCCUAUUAAAUAGGCGAUACAUAGAAAAGUGUAUCGAACUUCUUAGAGGGACAAGCGGCGUCUAGCCGCAUGAAAUAGAGCAAUAACAGGUCUGUGAUGCCCUUAGAUGUCCGGGGCUGCACGCGCGCUACACUGAAAGAGUCAGCGUGCGUUUUACCUAGUUCGGAAGAACCGGGUAACCCAAGUAAAUUCUUUCGUGCUUGGGAUAGGGAAUUGCAAUUAUUUCCCUUAAACGAGGAAUUCCCAGUAAAUGCGGGUCAUAAGCUCGCGUUGAUUACGUCCCUGCCCUUUGUACACACCGCCCGUCGCUACUACCGAUUGGAUGACUUAGUGA